UGACUUCUACAAGCAAUAGCACAAAUGGUGAACCAGGUCUUUCUGCUACGGUAAAUCCCUUGGCACUUGGACUAGCAGCAGGGAUACCCAGCAUUGUGGCCCUGGUCCUCGGAAUCAUACUGGCUGUGACCUGCAUUCGACAAAGGACACGCUGCAGCUGUAAUAAGGCCAAGCAGGGUCAAGAGGUGCCUGAAGAAUGCAAAUAUGAACAGACCAUUCCAAAGCUUCCAAAAGUCUCCUGUGUGUCCAUAUUGAAGGAGCCAACAAAUGCUUAUGAAAACGAGGAUGAAAACCCACCCCGCAGGCUACCAGCGCCCAUCCCCAGAAAAUCCAACUGGGCCAGGAAUAUAAAGCAGGACGCUCGUCCUGCAGGACAGAAAUCCUCAGAAGUAAGUCUGGAGGCAGUCUACGAAACUUGCAUACCUUCCCCCAUAAUCGAGAAGAGGGCAAAGCGUGUGGUUUGGAACUGAAAUCAACUUGCCAUAUGCUCUGCUUGGACGCCCCUGCCAAUGCAGCUCCACUGCUGUUAGAAAGAGGGUAAUUUGUGCCUGUGUAUAUUUGGACUGACACAGAACAAAGAGAAGGCAGAUGAAGGAGGACUAUGUCUGGAAUGAUGCCUUCAGGACGCUGAAGCAAAGUGCCCCCAGCCAUCCACAAGUGAUAGCUUUGCUUAUCUGGCAAAUUUUAACGGCAUUUGAGUUGAUUCACUCUAAUCAAGAGCAGCUUACCCUUCGCAUUGACACUGUGGAUAGAAAAGCUCUGCCGCAUGCACUGUAUUCUAUUCUUCCCCGUUUCUCCAAAGGGUCUGGUAAAUACGCUCAUGGUCUUAGUCCGUGUGCUAUAAAAUCAUCUCUCAUGUGACAUGUUGUUUAUUACUUAGAGUAGGAACAGUGUCAGGACGAAUGAACUAAUCCUCUGUCCCAGCAACCCGCCCCUUUCCUAUUUAAGACCUCGCUUGUCCCCAUUCUCCCCCACUCCCUCGGAGUCUGUAAGGCUUACGGAGUUUCGGGGAUUCCUCUCACAAACUCUUUCCAGACUGUCCUAAAUGAAUGCAAUAAAUGUUUACACAAGCACAUUGCAUAAAGUCCUCAGUACAAAUCAAUGCAUCACUCGUCCCCCUUCUGUAUUCAAACCAGACACCCAAGUAGAAGACUCGUUGUCAUGGAGGAAUUUCCAAAUUCUUAUUGAAAUCCAAUCCUCUUUAUUUCCAAACUUCCUGGAAACCGUGAGCCAUAUCUCAGCUGGUGUAAAUCAGCAUUGCUCCAUUGAACUCAGAGCAACUCCAGUUUAUGCCAGCUGAGGAUCUGGCCUUGCAAUUCCAAGAUCAAUUAGUUACUUGCAUUUCCAAACAGUUGGUGGCUCAAGAAGGCAAAACUCUAUUUAACUCAAAGGGUUCUAAGCCUGGAUCUCAUGAACGGGUGUCGGGAGGCCAUGACAGCCAGCUCUUCUCAUGGGGCUAAAUGGGAGGAGGAUCCAAGCUAAAUCCCAGGGAGAGAUUCUCAGUUCGCAGGGGCGAGUACUGGUAUGGAAAAGGAAUCAUGCUGUAGCAAAGGUUGAGAACCUGCUGCUUUAACUCAUUGAUUAAAAAAAUCACGUGUUAAUAUGCCUUAGUAAAUGUGGUUAUCAACAUAACAUCUAUCUGUGUUUUUAAUUUCUUACUCGCAGGAAAAAAAAUCUUUAAUUCAUUCACUGUAAAUAUCUCCUUUUUAAUUCCACCCU